rnacentral:lncRNA from 1 species
GGUGGCUCCCAAUUUUGGCUGUAGUGUUUUCAUGCACGUGGAUGAGAGCAAGUUCUUUGUUGUUUUUCUCCGGUAAAGACAAGAAUGAUUCUCCAUCUUAAAUUGUAUUGCUUAUUUACGUAUUAGGGUACCUGAGGUUUGAUUAUAAACGUUGUUUGACUUGUUUGGAGAAGUUUAUUAGUAACGUUUGGGAUUCAUUUUGUAUGCAUUUUGAUGGAGGGAAACCAGUGGAUUAUUGACUGAAGAGCGCCAGCUAAACUGAGUUUUUGGGGAUAUAAAGAAGCACAUUAUCAAACAAAAGGACCAUUUGUGAUGUAUCUGGGACCUUUUGGAGUGCCAACAGAAGAAGAUCAUCAAAGGCACGCAGACAAUAAUGUAACAGGCAUGUCGAAAAGAAAAUGAGAAACAUCUAUCUUCCUCAUCACAACUGAGAGAAUGAUUUGCAAAUGUGCGAAAGGUAGAAACGAUCAGCUAUUCCUCAGAAUCUUCAAUCAAAAGCGGCAUUAAACGAAAGAGGGGAAGAAAAAGUGAUAUGAGAUGUGUCUGAGAGAGAGGUAUGUGGAGAUGUGUGCUUCUGUAUUAAGCAGUCAUUACUGGGACACACGACGUGGUAAAACUCCUUAUUAUGCCUUGAUAUCAGACCGGUGUGCUAAUGCAUAUUUUAAACCCGCCAAGGAACGAUUCUCAGUGAAUAAGCUUUUUAAAGGAAACACUUACUGCGGGAAUAAACUGGCCCAGUUUAAAGGUUAUCUGACUAUAAUGAAUCGAUUCCCUUUUACAUUUUUCUCAAGUCGUUGCAGAAACACCAAAUCAGCACACUGUCUUACUCCUCUCUUCCUCAUUUUGGCACUCUUCUCUGUUUGAUGGAGAGAUGAGACGAGAAAAGAGACACAGACUUCACAGUAGAAGUUCGAUAUCAGUUGCCAUGUGCCAAACAAAACUGGAAGACUAUUUGGCGAGAGAGAAAAGGAGGAGAGACAAAAGAAGAGAGAAGUGAACCGAAGAGUGAAAAGGAGGGGAUAAGGAGGAGGAGAGAGGAGCAGUUCACGCCCACACAUUCAUCCAUAUCCAAAGCCUGGCUUAUGGACAUGUUUCUACUGCGUUAGUCUCUGCUAUGCAAAUAGUGUAUUGACUUGAGCAGAAUCUCUGUUGUUUUAUUGUUACUGUGCUGCAUUGCUUUCUCUAUGUCCUUAACAAGGGCUCCAAGCCAAGGUCAUUGUGUUGUUUAGCCUAAUGAUUGUAUAAGAAUAGUUCUCCUGUCUCCUUCUUGCUUCCCCGGUUCUGUGUCUUGUUCUCUCCCUCUUAAAGAUCCCGAGGUUGCUGAAGGAGGAGCAGGGGGUAUAGGUAUUUGUUUACGUUUUAGUCCCCCGUGGAAAUUGAACCCACGGCCCUGGCGUUGCAGGCGCCAUGCUGUAGCAACUGAGCCACAAGCUACCUAAUCUAAUGAUUAGGUCCCUAAUGUUUAGUAAUGAGGCAUUUUUUUGUGUGUGUUUUGUGUGUUUCUGUUUUGUUUUUGUUUCGAGGUUUGUGGUGGAACCCAACUCUGUCUGCUGGAUCUCCUGUUUGGUAGUCCGCUUGUUGCAGGAGGCCAGGGGGCAUAGCUGGGAGGAUCGUCAGGUCUGUUCUCACCAUACAACACCCUCUCCACUCAUCCACACGCUCCAUACACUACCGAUCCUACCGAUGUCCCCAGCUUCUGUCAUUUUUUCCAAAUGUAUUAUUAUUUCGUUUAAUACGUUUCUUCCUUUUCACGUUUAAGUCAUGCGUGGUCCCCCUUUGUUGUUACGAACUACGAGCCAGGUUGUAACAUUAUCUUUACAACUUAUUUGUUACAGACAGAGAAUAACAUUUAAUGCAGCACUCGUGCAGUGAGCGAGGGUUUCCCUUGAUUUGCCUUCACUCGGCCUACGUACUCAGUGCCCCAGAGAGACCAACCAAGUCACGCUGCAGUAAAAACCAUCACAUGAACCCUCUGCAGAGAGAAGAGAAUAGAAUUCAUGAGCUUAGGAAUAGAAUUUUUACAAUUUGAAUUGUACCUGCAGGCUGAUUUCCGAACAGGGCCAGAGGAUUGGAUUUGUAGAUUUAAAGAGAUGUCAUCCAACAAAUAUAAAAGCAGAAACUACAUGUGUAACUGGCUUUGGGGGGGAGGAGAGAGAGGAAGAGAGCGGUGGAACAUGAACAUACAAGAUUAUCGAGGAGUAAAGAACAAAGCUCAGGCCAGGUUCAGCUGUAAUUGAACAUGGGAAAAACUGGUCCAGGAAUAAUCAUUUUGCGAGCCAUUGUCACACGAGGAAGAUAGUGUUGGGCACAACUUGCACCAACAUACAAAGGUACAUUUUAGUAGACGCUCUUAUCCAGGGCGACUUACAGUAGUGAAUGCAUACAUUUCAUAAAUUUUUUCUCCAUACUGGUCCCCCGUGGGAAUCGAACCCACAACCCUGGCGUUGCAAACACCAUGCUCUACCAACUGAGCCAUACGGGACAAGGUACAGACACACGCAUGCAUGCGCAGAUGCACACACCUUCCUUCUCCCCCUCUCUCUUUCCUACCUUGCCACAUCAUUCUCUGACGGUAGUUAGAAGGGCUCUCCUCUCCCCACCUCUCCGCUUAAAACCUCCUCUCUCCUCUGCCCUCUCCCCUUCCUUCACAGCCAUACAUGUAGCUGGAGGCCUCAUGAGCAGUAGGCUACAGGCACGCAAUAAACCAGUGCCUUUGUCUGAAAAUAACCCCCCCCCCCCAUUCUGCCCACCAUACACAACCUGGAAGGGCUCCCAGCCCCCUCAUCUGGGCAGGAAACAGCCUCCUAUCAGCCUAUCAGGCACUGUGGAACGACGUUUGGGCCUAUCAGACGCUGUGGAACGACGUUUGGGUCUAUCAGCUGCUGUGGAACAACGUUUGGGUCUAUCAGCUGCUGUGGAACGACGUUUGGGCCUAUCAGACGCUGUGGAACGACGUUUGGGCCUAUCAGCUGCUGUGGAACGACGUUUGGGUCUAUCAGACGCUGUGGAACGACGUUUGGGUCUAUCAGCUGCUGUGGAACGACGUUUGGGUCUAUCAGACGCUGUGGAACGACGUUUGGGUCUAUCAGCUGCUGUGGAACGACGUUUGGGUCUAUCAGCUGCUGUGGAACGACGUUUGGGCCUAUCAGAC